UUAAUCUGGUGUGGGUAAAAU
ensembl:piRNA 21ur-4061 ncRNA